AUAACUGUUUAUCAUAGCAGAUGACUUAAUGGAAAAUGAAGUCAUGUCAAGAAAGUCUUUGGCGCUUAGACUCAACAGGGAGUAAUUUUUAAUCGAGGGGCAUCAGCCCUGAGCAGCAGUAUAAUAAAUACCCCCAUGGAGUCCAGAUACUGGUGGUGGUAGCUGAUGACUUCUGCUGACAUUGACUGACCGUACGGCAGGCCACAGCUCAAUGAAAGGCGUCAAUUCCUUCGUUGAACCUUUUGUGUAAGAGGCAAGAGACGUCUGCAGAAACUGGGCUGCAAAACUUCC